rnacentral:lncRNA from 1 species
AUGAAUAAGAUGCUAGGGUGAGCAUCUCGUGCGAAUCUGUAGUGGGUGAAACGUUUGAUUCGAUGCAUGACUUGGAGUUCCUAUUUAUAGUGGGCAAGUGUGGAGUUGUUGUAGUCCGAUAGAAAAUCUUGGCUUCGAGUUACGUGAUUUCUGGGAGAAAAUAGUUAGAAAGAAAGUCCGAAAUAGUGGUGUAUUAUUUUGUGGUAAGGGUUGGUUGAAGUGAUGUGGGAGGUACCCAUAGUAAUUCUAAGGUGUACCUUUACGAGUUGUUGAGGACCCUAAUCCUGAGCGAAUUAGUCACAUGGGAUUUGUGAUUAGUAUAGGGUUGCAGGAAGUUGCUACAUAAAAAGCUAAACGUCAAUUUAGAUAAGUCAUGAUUGAAGGCCAAUUUGUCGACUAUUUUUAUCCGCAACAGAAAGCAGUUGGGAACAUUUUGGGAUAAUGCUAGUUAUGUCAGCACCUAUUCUGGUUCCUACACUCUAAUUAUGGAUAAGUUUUUUUUAUCUUUUGAGCAAUUUAUUAAGAUGGUGGUGGUAAUAUCUUUUGGAAAUGUCGGAUAAUAGUAGUCGAUGAAUAUUAAGAUUUUUGAUGAUUUUGGUCUCUAUUGUGGGUUAGUUGAAGUUUGUUAAAGCACUAUGUGUAAUGACUUGGAUUGUUUUUCCUUGGAUUGGUUUUUUUUCAAAAGUCAUUGGUCAGUGCGUUGUGACAACUUCUUGUUAUGCCACAGUCGGGAAAUUUUAGAAAUUGAAUGGUGGCACUAAAUGUUUUGAGUUUCAAGCAAGUUUGGAACCGUGGAGUGAGAUGUCAGUUGUAUUAUUUUAAUCGUGGGGCCAUUAUGGAUUCUUUUAUAAUUCUAGGUGUUGAAGUUUGGUCUCCAGAUUUGUGGAGUGUUUUGGGAAGAUGAUAAAUUUAAAUGGAAUUGAAAAGUAAUGGUGGAGUGAGGGCAAGAUGGUUGUGGUCACUCCAGUUUUACGACAACACCUGGUGAAUUUAUUACGUGUUGUUAUGGGUAUUCCAUAGCAGUUGUGUGGUAGCAGUGGAAUAAAGCCCACUAGAUCGUGGAGCAAGAGUGCAUGGGUGUCCAAAGUAAUUUUCUUUUUUAAGCAGUGUUGUUCCGGGUAGUUGAGAUAAGUCUUGAAUUUGUGAUCGAAGUUGGUUUAUUGACAUCACUUCGUUAGCACUUGGUGACUAGCUCCGACACAUCACUAGGAGGAUCUGUUCACUCACCUUAUUUCUAAUUCGGUGAGAUGGAGCAGAGUUUUUUGUUGUGGUGUGUGUGGGAAUAUAUAAAUUAUUCCUACUGUAGUUUUUGGGUAGCAUCCUCAGAGCUUGAAAUUAUGGAAUGCGAAUUCAAUGUUACGAUUUGAAGGUUAGAGAUUCUGGUUUUUUUGUCGAAGUUUUGAGGUAAAUGAUAAAUUGGUAGUUGUGUCGUAGUCAUGGAUCUGGAAUAAAUCCAAUGGUGAUCCCAAGUGAGCUGGAGUUCAUUUAAGCGAGGAAUCUUGGUGCCGUAAAUCCUGUGUGGUAGUUUGAGAGUUGCAUGGUGAUGUUGAUUAGAUGGUUUGUGUCGUUGUAAGUAUAUUUCAUGAUGUAGCAUUAUGGGAGAGGGUUUUCCCCUGUUGACUCAAGAAGCGUCUAGAGUCAGUUUAUUAAGAGUUUUAAUAUUGAGAGUAGUAGAUAUUGAUAGGUUGAUCAACGUCUCUUCUCGGGAUCGUAUUGUGGUGGGACCACUCAUUAAUCCAAGUUUGAUUUGGGAGGUCUUCGCUAUUUGGUUGUGCGUUCAUCCGUUGGUGUCAGGAUGAUUAGUUGAGGUUUCUAGUGCAAUUUCGGAACAGGUUCUGGCGGAUAUCAGAGAAUUGUGGAGCUUUUGAGCUCGAAGUUAGAGGACUUGCCUUUCGUGUGCUUUAACUUAUUUCUUCUAGAACUUGAGCUGAGUUUAGCCAUGAGUUUUGAUUCUUACUUGAAUUCAUAGUUUUCGUUGGAUGGUGAACCAUAAAGUGUAGUAGUGGGCCUGUUACAGAAAUUAAUUUUUUUAUAUACGAUGGUUAACUUGUUGUUGCAAGCUCGGUUAUCGGAGAAUCUUUUUGGUGGGAAGCCGUGGGCCUAGAAAGUGUAGGAGAUUUGAGCAUACCUGAUUUCCGAUCGUAUUCUGCUAUCAAAUUAAUUGUUAUUAGAGAUAGAAAAAGAAGUGUGUUUGUCGGGUCCAAAGGUUUUGGCAUUUAGAAUCAUUCUUGUGGAAUGGCUAGAGUGAGCCGUGUGUUUUUAAUUGUUGCACUUGGGGUCGCGGUUGCACCUGAAUAAGUAGCAUGGCUGGACAUGUAAUUUUUGUUAAUGUUUAAGGAAGGUGUUCUAUUUAUGUGGAUUUCAAUGUCAAGUUUAGCAUCAUGAAUUGAUUGUGCCAAUUUUCGUGGGCAUUAUUAGUCAGUUUUUGCUUAUGGCGAGCAAGGAGGAAUAUCCAAUUUCCACAUGAUAGUCAUGUUUCAAAUUGUCUUCUGGUUUGUGGUAAAGAGAUUAGUGGAGAUAGCAGAAUCAGGAGAGAGUUGGAUUUCCCAUAAGCUGCUAGUUUGUGGUGCUCAAAAUAGUAAUGUAAUAGUUUUGGUGGAAAGACCUAUGUGACGUAGUGUUGAUCUCUACAUAAUGUCAUUUCGAGAUUCGAGGUUAUCAUUUGUUGGUGGACUGGUCACUUAGGCAGAGCAAGGUUGUCUUGUGGACUUGCAAGAGCUUUCACUCCGCGAAAGACUCUACGAAGUGUCUCAAUAUAAGAAGUGAUUGUUGCAGUUCUGCAGUGUGUGCAUCCUUAAAUUUGUUCAAUUAGCGGGUCUUUAUUUUGACCCCUAUGAGCAUGUGCGAAUACGUGAACUUUAGUUUCCUAGCAAGUGGGCUUUAUCGUCGAGUUUGUGAGCAACGUAAUGACGAGGUUGUUGUAUGACGUUAGGAGACUUUAGCCCGAUGGUGAUAGCAAAUUUAUGCAUUUUAUUUGGGUUAGCUAUUUCCAUUGCUCAGGAAAGAGUGUGCAUACCUACGGGUACUCGUACUCUGGAGCAAGUAUCACUGAACCCACUUACGUGUAAACGUUAGUGGUUCAAUGAAGGAUUUAGAGUCCUUGAGAAGAUUGAAAUAAUUCAGGAUAAAUGGGAAGAUUAAAAUAGUCAGAGAUAGACUCAAAGCAGCUCAAAGUGGUCAGAAGAGUUAUAAAGAUGUCCGCAGGAAGGACCAUGAGUUUCAAGUGGGUGAUUGGGCGAUCAUGAAACUACCUCCUUGGAAAGGGGUGGUACGUUUUGGUAACAUGGAAAGCUUGGUCCGAGAUUUAUUGGUCCUUAUGGGUUUUCAGAUCAAGUUGGCUCUCUUGCGUAUCGGUUAGUUUUGCCUCCAGAGUUAUCCAAGAUACAUACUGAGUUUCAUGUAUCCAUGCUUCGCAAGUUUAUUGCCGAUCUCUCUCAUGUGUUGCGAGAGCAGCCAAUUAAUUAGGAGAAAGUUUUUACCUAUGAUGAGGAGCUGGUUCAGAUUCUUGACCAAAAAGGAGCAUAUGUUUAGGAGCAAAUCUUUUCCACUUGUUAAAAUUAUGUGGAGGAGUCAUCAAGUAGAGGAAGCUACAUGGAAAUCGGUGGAGCAGAUGAGGCAUCAAUAUCCUUUCCUCUUUGAUGAGUAUGUAAAUUUCGAGGACGAAAUUUUUAUAAGGAGGGGAGAAUUGUCACAUCCCGACUCUUAAAUUGUCACAUCCCGACCCUUAAAUUUUUACCUUAUUUACUAGCUUGGUUAUAAUAAGAAUUUUACCGUCUCCGUCAUUGAGGUAAUAGUUUAAUCGGUCCCUAGAGGUGUUUUGAGGGACGAUUAAUUUCGGGGAAUUAUUCGUAGGAGAAAAUUAUGACGACGGUAAAAAUGGUAAAUUUUAGCUGGUAAAAGGUAAUUUUUAUUCGGGUAUUAUUUUUCCGGGAUGUUUUAUUUUUGGAAAUGGGUUGUAUAUAGGACUUGGACCGGGUAGGAGGCCCAAGCCUAUUUCUUCUUCUUCUCUCUUUUCUUUCUCUCUUCUCUCUCUCCCUCCCGAGCUCUCUCUCCCCCGCCGGUUUCCUCCGCUCAGAGCACUAGGUUAUUCGUUUCCUUUCUCUUUUUAGUACUACCUUAUAUUCUUGGUCGCACUUAGUGUCUAUAGAGUGAUGGUCCGACCGCGGCGGAUCUAUUAGCAUUAUAUGCUUUAGACACUAUGUGUUGAUUAGGUUUGUGAUGUAGUUGUUCUUCUUUUAUUUAUGGACAGUAGUGUGCCAUAAAUGUCUACAUCUCUAAGACUAUGCCUCCGUACACCGACCUCUUGAGUGUUCAUCCUUCGAGUUUUGAAAAGGUGUAUAGUUUGCAUCUAUUCCAAGGUUCAUUAAUUUAAUAUCUUUGAUAUUAAUGGUUGGAGUUGUUUUGCGAGUGGGGAACGAAAAAGCUUGUUAGCAUUCCUUUCAGGUAUCCAAUGAUUGUUUGGGUUAAAUAAGAUUAAGGUUUCAGAUUAAGAUGCUAAGGUGAGCCUCUUGUGCAAAUCUGUUGGGUGAAAUGUUGAUGAUUAAUGCCUUGAAGUUGUCCAUUUUUUUUUAGUGGGCAAGAUUGGAGUCAAAAAUUGAUUGAUGGGAGAUUUUGGUAUUGAGUUACGUGACUUCUGAGAGAGUUGAGUUGGAAGGAAAGUUCGAAGUAGUGGUGUAUUCUAUUGAUGAAAAAGUUAGUUGAAAUGAUGAGGUGAGGUAUCCAAUGGUAAUUCAAAGGGGUACCUAUAUGAGUUAUUGAGGACCCUAGUCUUGGGUUAAUCAAGGUUUUAGGAAAUUUGUGGCUAGUGAUUGGGUGGUAAGGUAGUGCUGCAUAAAAGAGCUAAAUGUCAAUUUAGAUAAGUCUUGAUUUAAGGCCAUUUUGCCGACAAUUUUAUCCGCAACAUAAAUCAAUUGGGAACAUGUUGGGAUAAUUUUGGUUAUGGCGGUAUAUGUUCUGGUUUCUGCAGUGCUAAUUAUGGAUAUGUUUCUAUCCUUAGAGCAUUUUAUCCAGAUGGUAGUGGUAAUAUAUUUUAAAAAUGAUGGAUGUUAGUAGUCGAUGAAUAGUAAGUUUUCUAAUGAUUUUGGUCUCUAUUGUGGGUUAGUUGAAGUUUGUUAAAGCACUAAGUAGAAUGACUUGGAUUGUUGGUUUUACAAAAGUCAUUCGUCAGUGCGUUGUGACAACUUCUUGUUGUGCCACAGUCGGGGAAUUUUAUAAUUUUAUUGAUGGCAUUAAAUGUUGAGUUUCAAGCAAGUUUGGAAUUAUGGAGUGAGUUGUCGGUUAUAUUAUUUUAACCGUGGGGCCAAUAUGGAUUCUUUUGGAAUUCCAGGUGUUGAAGUUUGGUUUCCAAAUUUGUUGAGUGUUUGGGAAGAUGAUAAUGUAAUGGAAUCGAAAAGUAAUGGUGGAAUGAGAGCGGGAUGGUUGUGGUCACUCCAGUUUUACAACAACACAUGGUGAAAUUUUAAAUAGGUGUUGUCAUGAGUUUUUUUUUUUAUAAAUUCUAAGGUAGUUGCAUGAAAUUGGUGGAAGUGGCAGCGGUAGAAUAGAACCCACUUGAUCAUAAAGCAAGAGUGCGUGGGUGUCUAAAGUAAUUUUUAAGCAAUGUCAUUCCGGGUGGUUGAUGUAAGUCUCAAAUUUGUAAUCGAAGUUGGUUUUGACAUCAUUUCGUUCGCAAUGGGUGACUAACUACGACAUAACAAUGGGAUGAUCUAUUCUCAUCUUAUUUCUAAUUCGGUGAGAUGGAGUAAAGUUUUGGUUGUGGUGUGUGUGGGAAUAUUUAAAUUAUUCAUACUGUAGGUUUUAGGUAGUAUCCUCAGAGCUUGAAAUUUUGGAAUGCGGAUUCAACACUUCGAUUUGAAGGGUAGAGAUUCUGGUUAUUUUGUCGAAGUUUUGAAGUAAAUGAUAUUUGGUAGUUGUGUCGUAGUCAUGGAUCCGGAAUAAAUCCAGUGGUGAUCCUAAGUGAGCUGGAGUUCUUUUAAGUGUUGAGUCUUGAUGCCGUAAAUCCUAUGUGGUAGUUUGAGAGUUGCAUGGUGAUGUUGAUUUUGAUGGUUUGUGUCAUUAUAGGUAUAUUUCAUGAUGUAGCAUUAUGGAAGAGGGUUUUCCCUUGUUGACUCAAGAAGCGUUUAGAGUCAAGGUUUAUUAAGAGCUUUAAUAUUGAGAGUAAUAGUUUUUGAUAGGCUGGUCAGCAUCUCUUAUUGUGGUGGGACCACUCAUUGAUCCAAGUUUGAUUUGAGAGGUCUUCGUUAUUUGGUUGUGCGUUCGUCCGUUGGUGUCAAGAUGAUUAGUGGAGGUUUCUAGUGCGAUUUCGAAGCGGGUUCUGGCGGAUAUAGGAGAUCUGUGGAGCUUUUGAGCUCGAAGUUAGAGGACUUGCUUUUCGUGUGCUUUAAAUUUUUUUUUCUUUUGGAGCUUGAGCUGAGUUAAGCCAUGAGUUUUGAUUCUUGGUAAUUUUACCAAUAUAGUAAAGCCUACAAGUAUUUACCUCUUUUUACCAAUAUAGUAAUUUUCGUUUUUAGACCAUAACUUCUUCAUACGAACUCCGUUUGAAGCGUGCCUCUUGUCCACGAACUCCGUUUAACGUCCUCUACAACUUUCAUGAAGGA